rnacentral:rRNA from 1 species
UGAUCAUGGCUCAGGAUGAACGCUAGCGGCAGGCCUAACACAUGCAAGUCGAGGGGUAGAGUUCUUCGGAACUUGAGACCGGCGCACGGGUGCGUAACGCGUAUGCAAUCUACCUUAUACAGGGGAAUAGCCCAGAGAAAUUUGGAUUAAUGCCCCAUAGUAUUAUUGAAUCGCAUGGUUUAAUAAUUAAAGUUCCAACGGUAUAAGAUGAGCAUGCGUCCCAUUAGUUAGUUGGUAAGGUAACGGCUUACCAAGACAAUGAUGGGUAGGGGUCCUGAGAGGGAGAUCCCCCACACUGGUACUGAGACACGGACCAGACUCCUACGGGAGGCAGCAGUGAGGAAUAUUGGUCAAUGGGCGCAAGCCUGAACCAGCCAUGCCGCGUGCAGGAAGAAGCAUCUAUGGUGUGUAAACUGCUUUUAUACAGGAAGAAACAACGCUACGUGUAGCGUCUUGACGGUACUGUAAGAAUAAGGACCGGCUAACUCC